GACGAACCGUGCGAACGUUGUUCGGAAUCACUGGGCUUAAAGAGCUCGUAGGCGGUGUGUCGCGUCGGCCGUGAAAACCUGCAGCUUAACUGUGGGCUUGCGGUCGAUACGGGCAUCACUGGAGUUCGGCAGGGGAGACUGGAAUUCCUGGUGUAGCGGUGAAAUGCGCAGAUAUCAGGAGGAACACCGGUGGCGAAGGCGGGUCUCUGGGCCGAUACUGACGCUGAGGAGCGAAAGCGUGGGGAGCGAACAGG
rnacentral:rRNA from 1 species